AAAACACAUGAAGCAAACCAAAAAUGAAAUGCUUUUGUCAGGAGUUCAUAAGCUUGAAUCACUGCUCUUUUACCAUAUAUCAACUACAAUGUUGAAAUAUAUUAGAGAAACUGCAUAUUGAUGUAGGUAUUUGUGGAAUGUACCAAUGUACCAUAACUAAAUAGUUAAUCCAUGUUGUAAUAUUAACAUUUAACGCCAUCAGAGUCCCGGGAGUUACGCAGUGCUAGGGCUGAACGUCUAAUAAAUGACCAAACUUAGAGAGCAUAAUAUAGAAAUAUCAGAAAUCUCUGCGGGGUGUACCACAUAACAUCAGCCAAUAAGAUGAGGGGAGAUAAUUUCACUCAGUUAGGAAUCUUCUAGGCAAAACAUAGCCUACUUUGCGGCGGAGUUACGCAGGGUUUCCUGUUAUUUUACGGCGAUUCUCGUCCGUUCUCGUCGGAAAGAAACCAAGUUUGACAAGAUGGAGGAUUCAGAAGAUGAUUUUAACAAAACUAUUUGGCCAGUCUACAACCAAGGUGGAGUGAGGGGAGAGGAUCAUGAAGGGACCCCGGCUCCUUCAGUUCACACCCAGAGGGCGCCAUUGCAUCUGACAAAGCCGUGGAUCGAGUCGGAUGAGGCCUGGAUUCUGGAGGCGUCUGCGAGGGGUCGCCUCAACAGGUAAGCAAGCAGUUCCAGUUCAAGUUGCGUCAAAGCACUCCAAUAACAGAACCAUCAGCUCCACGCCCACAAGAGGAGCUUUCUAGACCACUUUUGUAUCGUUGAAAACGAGUUCCUCAGUGAAACAAAAAUGCAGAACAGAUAAUCGAGUUACCUGCAUCCAGCUCUGCGGUCUGACUUUACCCCAUCAGUGCUAUAUCUCACCGUUGUACAUUCACAGAUGGGGCCGUUUCAACGAAUGCCCUCGCGGUCAUUAGGUUUGGUGUUUUUUUAAAGACGCCUCAAAUGUUUAAUAUUUUUCAAUUCGAUCAAUAAAUAUGUAAUUUGUAAUUCUAUAUAUAACAAAGUGAGUAGCUUUGACAACUUCACAACUCCCUGCUUCUAUUUUAAAACAACUUUAGCAGAGUUAAACCAUAUAACUCACGAUGGUCGACGCAUCCAAUGGCACUUGCGUGAUCCCAGUCCUUCCCGUUACCAAAGGACUGUUCUAAAGAUGCCUCGCCCUGUGUGCGUGUCAGUGUAACCUAGUUCAAGGAACAUCAGGUACCCAAGCAUGCUGCUGCAGCAGCUGCAGAUGGGAGGAUCCUCUUGAGGUACCGCUCGUACACUUCAAGGGCGCAGCUGAAGG